AUGGCGAUGGAGCGCUGCCGGGCGUCGCGCUCCUGCGCCUCCUGCAGCUCCUUCCAGAGCGCGUCCAGCUCGGAGCCGCCGCCGGGCGCGGGCCGCUCCAGCCGCUCGGCCAGGCCGCGGAACCGCUCCAGCUCCGCCAGCAGCCGCCGGACGCGCUCGGGCUCCGCGUACGGGUCGGCCUCGAUGAGCUGCACGGCCCGGGGCCGCUGCCCCUCCUGCGCCCCCGCCUUGGUGGGCUGCAGCAGCCCCCCGGGCGCGGCCGAGCCGCCGGGCUGGCUCUCGGGGCUGGACGACAGCAGGUCGGCGGGGCAGGGGCUCUGCCGCGGGAACGGCGGCUCCGCGGGGCCCGGCGGGGGCAGCGCCGGAGGCGGCCGCGGCGCCGGGGGCUGCAUGGGCAGGGCCGGGGACGGGGACGGCGCCGGGGACGGGACCAGCGGGCCCGGGACCACCACGGAGCCCGGCAGCGGCCCGGGAGAAGGGGCCUGGCUGGGCGGGGCGGGACCAGCGGGGGGACCCAGGGCCAUGGUGCCGGGGGGCAGCUGGGCGCCGGGGGGAGCCGGGCUGGGGCAGAAGGGCAGGGCGGGGGACGCGGGGGGCACCGGCUGGAGCCCCCCCAGCGCCGGGGGGGCCGCUCGGGGCCGGGGGCCUGGGGAAGGGCACGGCCCCCGGGUGCGGGGCCAGGCCCGCGGGGGGCAGCUGCUCCUGGAGCUGGUAGAGCUGCGGGGGCAGCGGGGGCUGCGCCGGGCCCGGCGGGGGCAGCUGCGCCCCCGGAGCGGGGAAGCGCUGCUGCUGCUGCUGCUGCUGGGGGAAUUGGGCCGGGGGCGCCAGGGGCACUCGGGGGGCUGCUGGAAGGGCAGAGGGGCCUGGGCUCGGCCCGGGGGUAGGAAGGGACCCGGCGGGAACUGCUGCGGGCCCUGGGCGAAGGCGGGCGGGGGCUGUGCCGGGGGGAAGGGGGCCGGGGCCGGCGCCCCGAAGGGCUGCACUCCCCCGUCGUGUAGGGGAAGGGCGCCGGGGGCCCCCCCGGGCGCUGGGGGGGCAGGAAGGGGCCCCGGGGGGGCACGGAGCAGCUGGAGAUGGGCGUCUGGACGCUGUCCACCGUGGUGGUGGCCGGGCGGGUGCCCGGGGGCUCGUGGCCCCCCAGCCCCGGCUGGGCACCCGCGGGCGCUGCCCCGGGCACGGGCGGGCGGAGCGGGGCGGGGGCCGGGCCGGGCUGGCCCAGGCCGUAGGCGGGGGCGGGCAGGGCCCCGUGCUGGGGGGACGAGCGCGGGGGCGGCACGUGGGGGCCCCCCGAAGGGCGGCUGA
rnacentral:lncRNA from 1 species